rnacentral:rRNA from 1 species
UGGGGAAUAUUGCACAAUGGGCGCAAGCCUGAUGCAGCCAUGCCGCGUGUGUGAAGAAGGCCUUCGGGUUGUAAAGCACUUUCAGCGGGGAGGAAGGCGAUAAGGUUAAUAACCUUGUCGAUUGACGUUACCCGCAGAAGAAGCACCGGCUAACUCCGUGCCAGCAGCCGCGGUAAUACGGAGGGUGCAAGCGUUAAUCGGAAUUACUGGGCGUAAAGCGCACGCAGGCGGUUGAUUGAGUCAGAUGUGAAAUCCCCGGGCUUAACCCGGGAAUUGCAUCUGAUACUGGUCAGCUAGAGUCUUGUAGAGGGGGGUAGAAUUCCAUGUGUAGCGGUGAAAUGCGUAGAGAUGUGGAGGAAUACCGGUGGCGAAUGCGGCCCCCUGGACAAAGACUGACGCUCAGGUGCGAAAGCGUGGGGAGCAAACAGG